CGUGGUUUCCCGGAGUUAACGCGUUAAAUUCGACCCCCCUGGGGAGUACCGGCCGCCAAGGUUAAAACCUCAAAUGAAAUUGACGGGGGCCCGCCCAAACCGGUGGGAGCAUGUGGUUUAAUUCGGAUGCAACGCGAAGGACCUUUACCUGGCCCUUGACAUGUUCUGGAAUCCUGUAGAGAUACCGGGAGUGCCUUCGGGGAUCAGGAACCCCAGGUGCUGCAUGGGCUGUCGUCAAGCUCGUGUCGUGAGAUGUUGGGGUUAAGUUCCCGCAACGAGCGCAACCCCUGUCCCUUUGUUGCCAGCCACGUAAAUGGUGGGAACUCAAGGGAGACUGCCGGUGAUAAAACCGGAAGGAAGGUGGGGAUGACGUCAAGUCAUCAUGGCCCUUACGGCCAGGGCUACACACGUGCUACAAUGGCGCGUACAAAGGGCUGCAAGCUAGCGAUAGUGAGCGAAUCCCAGAAAGCGCCUCGUAGUCCGGAUCGGAGUCUGCAGGCGGGGGUCCCCGAAGUCCGAAUCGUUAGUAAUCGCGAAUCAGAAUGUCGCCCCCCAAAAAUUUUUAAAACUUGUACCCGGGGGGGGGGGCCCCCCCCUUAUU
rnacentral:rRNA from 1 species